rnacentral:misc_RNA from 1 species
UACGUAGGUGUCAAACGUUGUCCGGAUUUAUUGGGCGUAAAGCGCCCGCAGGCGGCUUUGUAAGUUCUAAGUGAAAUCUCCCGGCUCAACUGGGAGGGGUCUUGGAAAACUGCGAGGCUUGAGGCAGGGAGAGGGAUGUGGAAUUCCAGGUGUAGCGGUGGAAUGCGUAGAUAUCUGGAGGAAUACCGGUGGCGAAGGCGGCCCCCUGGACAAAGACUGACGCUCAGGUGCGAAAGCGUGGGGAGCAAACAGG